CGGUUAGGAGUCGGAGCAACGCUUGAAAGACGCGCAGAUAGAUGUCAGAUUCUCCCGUAGGGAGGUCUGGCAAGGUGAUAGUUUAGGCGGCAGAGUUUUACGCGGGCCAGUCUGUGUUAGAGCUUUGUCGCCAGGGUAGCUCCUUCCGAGCUGCCCAAACUGAGGACCAGUUUUCCUCACAUGAGGAGGCUGGUGGGGCCUAGGGUGUUAGGUGUUAGGGGUACGACGGUUGGCUCUUUCACAGAACGGGCGUUUUCCGUUCUGCGUUUGGGUCUGCCGCCUUUGGGCGUCUCCCUCUGAGAUGUCGGUUAGGAUUUCUUUUUUUUAUAUGUCCGUGUGUGUAACUGUUGCCUUUUAGCCUGUUGUGUUCCUGAGCAGCAGAAGAGGAGGCUGUGGUGAUCCGCCCGAUGCGGAAGGCUUCUGGGCCCUGUCGGCGGGGGCGCACCUCUCUGGCUGACUGGUUGAGGGAGGGCUGCUCGUCUGGCCGGCUGCAAGUUCAGUCCCAGGAUUGAACCCAUGGCUUGCCAGAUGGAGGGCUGCUCCUUUGACCAGGUGGCCGGGGAGGCGCCCCCUCGCUGGGCGGGGUCUGGGGGCCCUCCGUCUUGGGGAGGUCGCUGCAGCAGGAGGAGGUAACUACCGCUGGUUUUGUAAGGCAUUGUGGUUGAGAGCACCUUGCAGCUGUAACGCGAAUUUCGUUCCGUAAUAAACAAUGUACCGCCAUGCUGCCUGUCCUUCCUCCCUCCCAGCACUGUGUACGUCUGUGUGUGUGUGGCUUAAUUCUCCCUCACUGCACUGUGCGUAUGUCUGUGUGUGUGUGUUGCUCUGUCUCUGUCUCUCUCUCUCUCUCUCUCUGUCUCGGUCUCUCUCUGUCUGUCUCUCUAUCUCUCAAUCUCUCUGUGUCUUUCUCUCUCUCUCUAGUUAGUAAAGAACAGGCAACAAGAAACCUCCACGGCCGAGCUUCAACAACAGAACACCUCGUCACCGUUGAUGAGGCUCCACGCCCCGGACCACAGCCAUGUUAGCCUCGAUAAUAGUCCUCGGCGCACUUAUUCUGAGACGUCCUGACUGGAGAGCUACACAACACCGGUCAUCCGCUGAGUGGUUGAAUUCCUGGUCUACUGGCCCCUGGAGGAGUGGUCGAUUGCCUGGUCUACCGUGGAUAUGAGUGGUUGAUUCCCUGGUCUACCCCUGGAUGACGCAGCUGUUCCUAUGCAGGGGAAGACUCACACAAGUGAUAAGGUAAGGUUUUAAUGGCUGGGUUUACAAGAGGUUUUAAUUGCUGGGUUUACAAGAGGUUUUAAUAGCUGGGUUUACAAGAGGUUUUAAUGGCUGGGUUUACAAGAGGUUUUAAUGGCUGGGUUUACAAGAGGUUUUAAUGGCUGGGUUUACAAGAGGUUUUAAUGGCUGGGUUUACAAGAGGUUUUAAUGGCUGGGUUUACAAGAGGUUUUAAUAGCUGGGUUUACAAGAGGUUUUAAUAGCUGGGUUUACAAGAGGUUUUAAUGGCUGGGUUUACAAGAGGUUUUAAUGGCUGGGUUUACAAGAGGUUUUAAUGGCUGGGUUUACAAGAGGUUUUAAUGGCUGGGUUUACAAGAGGUUUUAAUGGCUGGGUUUACAAGAGGUUUUAAUAGCUGCAUGGGUUUACAUGAUGUUUUAAUAGCUGCAUGGGUUUACAUGAUGUUUUAAUAGCUGGGUUUACAAGAGGUUUUAAUAGCUGCAUGGGUUUACAAGAG